rnacentral:rRNA from 1 species
AUUGAACGCUGGCGGCAGGCCUAACACAUGCAAGUCGAACGGUAACAGGAAACAGCUUGCUGUUUCGCUGACGAGUGGCGGACGGGUGAGUAAUGUCUGGGAAACUGCCUGAUGGAGGGGGAUAACUCCUGGAAACGGUAGCUAAUACCGCAUAACUUCUCAAGACCAAAGAGGGGGACCUUCGGGCCUCUUGCCAUCGGAUUUGCCCAGAUGGGAUUAGCUAGUAGGUGGGGUAACGGCUCACCUAGGCGACGAUCCCUAGCUGGUCUGAGAGGAUGACCAGCCACACUGGAACUGAGACACGGUCCAGACUCCUAAGGGAGGCAGCAGUGGGGAAUAUUGCACAAUGGGCGAAAGCCUGAUGCAGCAAUGCCGCGUGUAUGAAGAAGGCCUUCGGGUUGUAAAGUACUUUCAGCGGGGAGGAAGGGAGUAAAGUUAAUACCUGUACUCAUUGACGGUACCCGCAGAAGAAGCACCGGCUAACUACGUG